rnacentral:rRNA from 1 species
AAUGAACCGGCGAGUUACGAUUUGUUGCAAGGUUAAGCGGAAAAAGCGGAGCCGUAGCGAAAGCGAGUCUGAAUAGGGCGCAUAAGUAACAGGUCGUAGACCCGAAACCAGGUGAUCUACCCAUGUCCAGGAUGAAGGUAAGGUAAUACUUACUGGAGGUCCGAACCCACGCACGUUGAAAAGUGCGGGGAUGAGGUGUGGGUAGCGGAGAAAUUCCAAUCGAACUUGGAGAUAGCUGGUUCUCUCCGAAAUAGCUUUAGGGCUAGCCUCGAGGUAAAGAGUCAUGGAGGUAGAGCACUGUUUGGACUAGGGGCCCUUCUCGGGUUACCGAAUUCAGAUAAACUCCGAAUGCCAUGUACUUAUACUCGGGAGUCAGACUGCGAGUGAUAAGAUCCGUAGUCGAAAGGGAAACAGCCCAGACCACCAGUUAAGGUCCCCAAAUAUAUGUUAAGUGGAAAAGGAUGUGGGGUUGCUUAGACAACCAGGAUGUUGGCUUAGAAGCAGCCACCAUUGAAAGAGUGCGUAAUAGCUCACUGGUCGAGUGACCCCGCGCCGAAAAUGUACCGGGGCUAAACAUAUUACCGAAACUGUGGAUGAACCUCUUUAGAGGUUCGUGGUAGGAGAGCGUUCUAAGGGCGGUGAAGUCAGACCGGAAGGACUGGUGGAGCGCUUAGAAGUGAGAAUGCCGGUAUGAGUAGCGAAAGAAGGGUGAGAAUCCCUUCCACCGAAUAUCUAAGGUUUCCUGAGGAAGGCUCGUCCGCUCAGGGUUAGUCGGGACCUAAGCCGAGGCCGAUAGGCGUAGGCGAUGGACAACAGGUAGAGAUUCCUGUACCAGUGCUAAUUGUUUAACCGAUGGGGUGACACAGAAGGAUAGGGAAUCGCACGAAUGGAAAUGUGCGUCCAAGCAGUGAGUGUGAGAAGUAGGCAAAUCCGCUUCUCGCGAAGCAUGAGCUGUGAUGGGGAAGGAAAUUAAGUACGGAAGUUCCUGAUUUCACGCUGUCAAGAAAAGCCUCUAGGAAGAGUAGUACUGCCCGUACCGCAAACCGACACAGGUAGAUGAGGAGAGAAUCCUAAGGUGAGCGAGAGAACUCUCGUUAAGGAACUCGGCAAAAUGACCCCGUAACUUCGGGAGAAGGGGUGCUCUAUUAGGGUGCAAGCCCGAGAGAGCCGCAGUGAAUAGGCCCAGGCGACUGUUUAGCAAAAACACAGGUCUCUGCAAAACCGUAAGGUGACGUAUAGGGGCUGACGCCUGCCCGGUGCUGGAAGGUUAAGAGGAGUGCUUAGCUUCGGCGAAGGUACGAAUUGAAGCCCCAGUAAACGGCGGCCGUAACUAUAACGGUCCUAAGGUAGCGAAAUUCCUUGUCGGGUAAGUUCCGACCCGCACGAAAGGCGCAACGAUCUGGGCACUGUCUCAACGAGAGACUCGGUGAAAUUAUAGUACCUGUGAAGAUGCAGGUUACCCGCGACAGGACGGAAAGACCCCGUGGAGCUUUACUGCAACCUGAUAUGGAAUGUUUGUACCGCUUGUACAGGAUAGGUAGGAGCCGAAGAGACGUGUGCGCUAGCAUACGAGGAGGCAAUGGUGGGAUACUACCCUGGCUGUAUGACCAUUCUAACCCGCCACGCUUAGCGCGUGGGGAGACAGUGUCAGGUGGGCAGUUUGACUGGGGCGGUCGCCUCCUAAAGAGUAACGGAGGCGCCCAAAGGUUCCCUCAGAAUGGAUGGAAAUCAUUCGCAGAGUGUAAAGGCACAAGGGAGCUUGACUGCGAGACUGACAAGUCGAGCAGGGACGAAAGUCGGGCUUAGUGAUCCGGUGGUUCCGCAUGGAAGGGCCAUCGCUCAACGGAUAAAAGCUACCCCGGGGAUAACAGGCUUAUCUCCCCCAAGAGUCCACAUCGACGGGGAGGUUUGGCACCUCGAUGUCGGCUCGUCGCAUCCUGGGGCUGUAGUCGGUCCCAAGGGUUGGGCUGUUCGCCCAUUAAAGCGGCACGCGAGCUGGGUUCAGAACGUCGUGAGACAGUUCGGUCCCUAUCCGUCGCGGGCGCAGGAAAUUUGAGAGGAGCUGUCCUUAGUACGAGAGGACCGGGAUGGACACACCGCUGGUGUACCAGUUGUUCCGCCAGGAGCAUCGCUGGGUAGCUAUGUGUGGCAGGGAUAAACGCUGAAAGCAUCUAAGCGUGAAGCCCCCCUCAAGAUGAGAUUUCCCAUUUCUUCGGAAAGUAAGAUCCCUGAAAGAUGAUCAGGUAGAUAGGUUUGGAGUGGAAGUGUAGCGAUACAUGGAGCGGACAAAUACUAAUCGAUCGAGGACUUAACCAAAA